CAGCAGUGAGGAAGGCGGGUACGUUAAUAGCGUGCUCGUUUGACGUUAGCUGCAGAAGAAGCACCGGCUAACUCCGUGCCAGCAGCCGCGGUAAUACGGAGGGUGCGAGCGUUAAUCGGAAUUACUGGGCGUAAAGCGCAUGCAGGUGGUUUGUUAAGUCAGAUGUGAAAGCCCGGGGCUCAACCUCGGAAUUGCAUUUGAAAACUGGCAGACUAGAGUACUGUAGAGGGGGUAGAAUUUCAGGUGUAGCGGUGAAAAUGCGUAGAGAUCUGAAGGAAUACCGGUGGCGAAGGCGGCCCCCUGGACAGAUACUGACACUCAGAUGCGAAAAGCGUGGGGAGCAAACAGGAUUAGAUACCCUGGUAG
rnacentral:rRNA from 1 species